AAACUUAAAUGAAUUGACGGGACCCGCACAAGCAGCGGAGCGUGUGGUUUAAUUCGUUGCUACACGAAGAACCUUACCUGGGUUUGACAUAUAGGUUGUAGGGAACUGAAAGGGACCGACCCUUCGGGGAGCCUAUACAGGUGUUGCAUGGCUGUCGUCAGCUCGUGUCGUGAGAUGUUCGGUUAAGUCCGCUAACGAGCGCAACCCUCGUCGUAUGUUAUAUGUGUCAUACGAGACUGCCGGUAAAAGCCGGAGGAAGGUGAGGAUGAUGUCAAGUCAGCAUGACCUUUAUAUCCAGGGCUACACACACGCUACAAUGGUCUGUACAAUGGGUAGCCAAGCCGCGAGGCGGAGCCAAUCCUGAAAGCAGGCCUCAGUUCAGAUUGCAGGCUGCAACUCGCCUGCAUGAAGUUGGAGUUGCUAGUAAACGCAGGUCAGCCAUACUGCGUUGAAUACGUUCCCGGGGCUU
rnacentral:rRNA from 1 species